UACGGAGGGUGCGAGCGUUGUCCGGAAUCACUGGGCGUAAAGGGCGCGUAGGUGGCCUGUGGAAGUCUGCGGUGAAAGCCCGGCGCUCAACGCCGGGUCGGCCGUGGAUACUCUCGGGCUCGAGCUUACUAGAGGCAGAUGGAAUUCCGGGUGUAGCGGUGGAAUGCGUAGAGAUCCGGAAGAACACCGGUGGCGAAGGCGGCCUGCUGGGGUCUGGCUGACGCUGAGGCGCGACAGCGUGGGGAGCAAACAGG
rnacentral:rRNA from 1 species